rnacentral:miRNA from 1 species
AGACAGAUUUAGAUCGAAGACGCGGACGUCAAAGACGACGUGAAAAUGGCGUGUUGUGUCCAUAUAUGGAUAUGCCACGUCAUUUUGACGCCAUUUUCACGUCGUCUUUGACGUCCACGUCGUCCAUCUAAAUCUGUCU